rnacentral:rRNA from 1 species
GAUGAACGCUAGCUACAGGCUUAACACAUGCAAGUCGAGGGGUAGCAUGUUGGUUGCUUGCAACCGAUGAUGACGACCGGCGCACGGGUGAGUAACGCGUAUCCAACUUGGCUUAUACUUAGGGAUAACCCGUUGAAAGACGGCCUAAUACCUAAUGGUUUAUAAUAGUUGCAUGACUUUUAUAAUAAAGAUUUAUCGGUAUAAGAUAGGGAUGCGUCUGAUUAGUUAGUUGGUGAGGUAACGGCUCACCAAGGCAUCGAUCAGUAGGGGUUCUGAGAGGAAGGUCCCCCACAUUGGAACUGAGACACGGUCCAAACUCCUACGGGAGGCAGCAGUGAGGAAUAUUGGUCAAUGGACGUAAGUCUGAACCAGCCAAGUAGCGUGCAGGAUGACGGCCCUAUGGGUUGUAAACUGCUUUUAUGUGAGAAUAAAGUUAACUACGUGUAGUUAUUUGCAUGUAUCACAUGAAUAAGGACCGGCUAAUUCCGUGCCAGCAGCCGCGGUAAUACGGAAGGUCCAGGCGUUAUCCGGAUUUAUUGGGUUUAAAGGGAGCGUAGGCCGUUUGGUAAGCGUGCUGUGAAAUUUAGAGGCUCAACCUCUACCGUGCAGCGCGAACUGUCAGACUUGAGUGCGUAGUAGGUAGGCGGAAUUCGUGGUGUAGCGGUGAAACGCUUAGAUAUCACGAAGAACUCCGAUUGCGAAGGCAGCUUACCGUAUCGCAACUGACGCUGAUGCUCGAAGGUGCGGGUAUCGAACAGGAUUAGAUACCCUGGUAGUCCGCACAGUAAACGAUGGAUGCUCGCUGUUGGCUUUUAUAGUCAGUGGCUUAGCGAAAGCGUUAAGCAUCCCACCUGGGGAGUACGCCGGCAACGGUGAAACUCAAAGGAAUUGACGGGGGCCCGCACAAGCGGAGGAACAUGUGGUUUAAUUCGAUGAUACGCGAGGAACCUUACCCGGGCUUGAACUGCAGGAGAACGAUUCAGAGAUGAUGAGGUCCUUCGGGACUCCUGUGGAGGUGCUGCAUGGUUGUCGUCAGCUCGUGCCGUGAGGUGUCGGCUUAAGUGCCAUAACGAGCGCAACCCCUUUUCUUAGUUGCCAUCGGGUGAUGCCGGGCACUCUGAGGAUACUGCCACCGUAAGGUGUGAGGAAGGUGGGGAUGACGUCAAAUCAGCACGGCCCUUACGUCCGGGGCUACACACGUGUUACAAUGGGGCAUACAGAGUGUUGGUUGCAUGUAAAUGUAAUCUAAUCUUUAAAGUGCUUCUCAGUUCGGACUGGGGUCUGCAACCCGACCCCACGAAGCUGGAUUCGCUAGUAAUCGCGCAUCAGCCAUGGCGCGGUGAAUACGUUCCCGGGCCU